rnacentral:rRNA from 1 species
AACUAACAAGGAUUCCCCUAGUAACUGCGAGUGAAGCGGGAAAAGCUCAAAUUUAAAAUCUGGCAGUCUUUGGCUGUCCGAGUUGUAAUCUAGAGAAGUAUUAUCCGCGCUGGACCGUGUACAAGUCUCCUGGAAUGGGGCGUCAUAGAGGGUGAGAAUCCCGUCUUUGACACGGACUGCCAGGGCUUUGUGAUGUGCUCUCAAAGAGUCGAGUUGUUUGGGAAUGCAGCUCAAAAUGGGUGGUAAAUUCCAUCUAAAGCUAAAUAUUGGCGAGAGACCGAUAGCGAACAAGUACCGUGAGGGAAAGAUGAAAAGAACUUUGGAAAGAGAGUUAAACAGUACGUGAAAUUGCUGAAAGGGAAACGCUUGAAGUCAGUCGCGUUGGCCAGGGAUCAACCUUGCUUUUUUGCUUGGCUUACUUUCUGGUCGAUGGGUCAGCAUCAAUUUUGACCGGUGGAAAAAGUUCAAGGGAAUGUGGCAUCUUCGGAUGUGUUAUAGCCUUUGUUCGCAUACAUUGGUUGGGAUUGAGGAACUCAGCACGCCGCAAGGCCGGGUUUUUAACCACGUACGUGCUUAGGAUGCUGGCAUAAUGGCUUUAAUCGACCCGUCUUGAAACACGGACCAAGGAGUCUAACAUGCCUGCGAGUGUUUGGGUGAAAAACCCGAGCGCGUAAUGAAAGUGAAAGUUGAGAUCCCUGUCGUAGGGAGCAUUGACGCCCGGAUCUGACCUUUUGUGACGAUUCUGCGGUAGAGCAUGUAUGUUGGGACCCGAAAGAUGGUGAACUAUGCCUGAAUAGGGUGAAGCCAGAGGAAACUCUGGUGGAGGCUCGUAGCGAUUCUGACGUGCAAAUCGAUCGUCAAAUUUGGGUAUAGGGGCGAAAGACUAAUCGAACCAUCUAGUAGCUGGUC